ACGCCCGCCGCAGGGAGACACCGCUUUACGCCCGCCGCAGGGAGACAGCGCUUUACGCCCGCCGCUGGGAGACACCGCUUUACGCCCGCCGCAGGGAGACAGCGCUUUACGCCCGCCGCUGGGAGACACCGCUUUACGCCCGCCGCAGGGAGACAGCGCUUUACGCCCGCCGCUGGGAGACACCGCUUUACGCCCGCCGCAGGGAGACAGCGCUUUACGCCCGCCGCUGGGAGACACCGCUUUACGCCCACCGGAUGCGCCUGCCGCAGGGUGACACCGCUUUACGCCCGCCACAGGGAGACGCCGCUUUACACCCACCGGAUACGCCCUCCGCAGGGAGACAGCGGUUUACACCCACGGGAUACGGCCGCCGCAGGGAGAUACCACUUUACACCCAGCAGAAUGGAAAAAAUCUCCACCUGGAAGCACAAUAUUAAAGAAUAGAAGAGUGCUAUGUUUGCACCAUCACUACUUAAAGCAAAGCUCUACACGGUGCUGCGUUUUUCUCCAUUUGCAUUGGUGUGUGUGUUAGGAGCACGACUCCCGCUGACCUCGUCCAGCAGUCUACUGUGAAACAGCAAGGUUAUUUGGCUCUGUAUUUUUCAGCCAUAAGAAUUCUUUGUAUAUUCUGGAUACAAGAACUUAUCAGGCCAGUAGACGUUUUUUUCAUUCAGCACUUUGAUAAAAGUCUUACAAAAUAACUUCAUCGUGGUAAUCAUCACAACAUUGUAUACUCACAUUCUUCCAAAAGGUGGCUCUGGUAGCAAAGCCUAUAUGGUAAUUUUCUUCUUUAUAAAAUAAUGUGUGAAUAGUAUAAAUGCAUUAGACCAACACUAUGUCUGGCAUAUUUAUUGCAUUAUUUCUGGCUUUGUGUUUGUCUGUUUUGCUAUUCAAAAUACUUUUUUUUCAUUCAGCUGUAA